UUAGUUUAUGCAGCUUAGCAUGCAGUCGAGCGACAGAUAAGGAGCUUGCUCCUUUGACGUUAGCGGCGGACGGGUGAGUAACACGUGGGUAACCUACCUAUAAGACUGGGAUAACUUCGGGAAACCGGAGCUAAUACCGGAUAACAUUUGGAACCGCAUGGUUCUAAAGUGAAAGAUGGUUUUGCUAUCACUUAUAGAUGGACCCGCGCCGUAUUAGCUAGUUGGUAAGGUAACGGCUUACCAAGGCGACGAUACGUAGCCGACCUGAGAGGGUGAUCGGCCACACUGGAACUGAGACACGGUCCAGACUCCUACGGGAGGCAGCAGUAGGGAAUCUUCCGCAAUGGGCGAAAGCCUGACGGAGCAACGCCGCGUGAGUGAUGAAGGGUUUCGGCUCGUAAAACUCUGUUAUUAGGGAAGAACAAAUGUGUAAGUAACUGUGCACGUCUUGACGGUACCUAAUCAGAAAGCCACGGCUAACUACGUGCCAGCAGCCGCGGUAAUACGUAGGUGGCAAGCGUUAUCCGGAAUUAUUGGGCGUAAAGCGCGCGUAGGCGGUUUCUUAAGUCUGAUGUGAAAGCCCACGGCUCAACCGUGGAGGGUCAUUGGAAACUGGGAAACUUGAGUGCAGAAGAGGAAAGUGGAAUUCCAUGUGUAGCGGUGAAAUGCGCAGAGAUAUGGAGGAACACCAGUGGCGAAGGCGACUUUCUGGUCUGUAACUGACGCUGAUGUGCGAAAGCGUGGGGAUCAAACAGGUUUAGAUACCCUGGUAGUCCACGCCGUAAACGAUGAGUGCUAAGUGUUAGGGGG
rnacentral:rRNA from 1 species